rnacentral:lncRNA from 1 species
UGGGGUUUCACCAUGUUGGCCAGGCUGGUCUCAAACUCCUGACCUUGUGAUCUGCCCACCUCGGGCUCCCAAAGGCCGCAAACUUUUAAUGGCUUGAAAUCUUACAGUUCUGUAGGUCAGGAGUCUUGACACAGGUCCCACUAGGUUACAAUUAAGGUGUCAGCAGGGCUGUAUUAGUCCCUAGAGUCUUUAGGGGAGGCAAGGUUUUUUUUUUUUAUCUUUUCAAGCUUCUGAAGACUCUGCCUUUGGCUCACGGUCUCUUACUCCAUCUUCAUAUCUAGCAGCAGCAGGUGGCGUCUGCAUCACACUGGACCCCUCUUACCUCCCUCUUUCACUUUUAAGGACCCUUGUGAUUAAUAUUGAGCCCAUCCAAAUAUUUAGAAAUAAUUUAUUUUAAGGUCAGCUCAUUGGCAGUCUUAAUUCCCCUUGUAACAUUUCACAUUUGCAGGUUCUAGGAUUAGGACUUGGAUAUUGUUGGAGGUCAUUCUGCCUGUCUUAGGGAAUUGUGUUGGUUUUGGACAUGGUUAUAGUUCCAGGCAUACAUAACUGCUUAGAGUUGUUUUCAGACAGCGUAAGUGAAAUGAAUGAGCUAAGGAAAAUACUUAAUCCAAUAAAAAAUAGAACAUACUCGGGCUGUCUCAAUGUUUUCCUACGGUAUUUAAGUGCCAGUUUAUGGAGGUUUUAAAGAAAAGAUUUUCUCAGACGAGAAGAGCUUAUAAUAUACUUCCUGCAAACAUUCUAGAAAAUGUAGGUCCUUAUCAGUCAACCUUCAGAAUGGGGAAACCACAAAAUAAGUGAAAUUUUGUUAACCUAUCUAAGUAAACAUUAAAGAGUUGCUUUUAGAAAUGACACAAUGUAAAGAGACCAUCAGGGUCUAAAACCUCAUUAGCCAGAACUGGAAAAUGAGCUUUUAAAUACAGGUAAAAAGUAAAUAAGCAAUUUAUCCUCUACUUUGUUAGAGUACAGAAAUAGUAUUUCAAAGCAACCACUAGCAGAAUAAAAGACUAUACUUAACUUUGAAAUCACCAGGAAAAAGGCUAGGAAAACAGCCCACAAAGCAAAAGACAAAAAGGAGGAGACAGAAAUAAGAACAUUUUUAAUUAAAAUUAAGCACAGAAAAAUUUUAAGUAGUUUGUAUUCAAGUCAGUUUUACUUAAAUUUUAUAACAUGCAAGCCCUGGUUAUUUUUAGUGAUUGGAAAUGUAGACAACUGGUGGUUUGCCCCUAGUCAAUGGGAAGUCCUGGCCCUUGAUACUCUGGCCCAGCAGUAAGAGCUUCUAUUAAACCUCUGCUCCUUGAACAAGGAACAAAUCUUACUUUGUAUUCCCCAAAAUGACUGCAAAGUAGGCAUUCAAUAGAUAGCUGUUGAAUGGAUUGGAGAUUUCUCCUAAACAUCAUGUUACAAUUCAACUGUUCUUUGAUGUACUGCAGUAGACAUUUUCAUGCCAUUCUUAAAUUUCUCAGUCUCCUGAUGCCAAAUUUUGUUUAGAGGUAGAGGCUGAAGGUUAUGCUUGCUUUGGUGGAGAGUAUAAAGACAAUAGUAUGUGUGUAGCGGGGAAUGAGGCAGUGGAUAUAAAGAAAAGAAAAGGUUAUUUGCACAUCCAUAAGUAAUAUGUAACGGUGGCAAUGAAUGGCUGGCUGGGGUGGGAUAGUGGUUCUGGUCAGCUCCGGGAACUUUGUUGGUCGGUCAUAGUGUGAUAAAAGAGUUCAGAACAGAUCUCAAAUUAGGUUUUGUUUGUUUUUGUCUUUAUAAUUUAGGAAAUUAGAAAUGAGUCCUACCUCAGGACCGCAAUCUGUCUUUUUCACUUUUUGGCUGUUAUGUUCUUCACCAAAUCACUCUUUGGGAAGUAAGCUGCAGAGUGAACUGAUGGAUGUCUAUGAAAAUAAACAUGCAUGACCCUGUAACAAAGCAUGUGUGUCCUCAAGAAGAUUGCAGGUGAUUUUCAGAUGAGUCUCAUGUCUGCACAGUGAGAAUUCAUAAAAUGAAGUGUUAACCAAUACUCAGAAAGUGAGUUCAGAGGGGGAAAUAACUGCUGCAGUACUGUGUGUGCUUGAUACACAUUAUGACAGUUCUUAUUCAGUCUCAUAAAAGGAAGAAAAAUAAGGAAUUUGCUUGGCUUUUGGAUUUCAACUGUUUCCCUUACUGGAAAAUGAAAAACAUGUGCAUAAACAAUACAGUAAAUUUAAAUGAUUGCAUAAGGAUCUCUAUAUGCCUGAAAGUCAUGCUUGAAAAGGCCUCCAGUUUGAACAAGAGACAACAUAGCAGUGACAUUCAUGGCCUGAUGUCCAAAGACCAGCAUAGAAAAAAAAAAGCCAUUACCCUUGCCCUGAAUAUGUGGGCUGAAAUUCAUUGUAACUGUGUACAGGAGAUUAGAGACAGAAGGCAAUAAGAAAGCACUGGAAGUGCUUGGUCCAGAAUCAUUUAAUAGUGUAUGGAUUAGAAAAGGAGGUGGUAGUUAGAUGGGAUUAAGAAACCGUGUUUGUUGCUAACAAGAACCCUAAAUUCUGCCACAAUACAGUGAGAGGAGACCAUGGUUUGAUCCCUAUUAACAGUAAUAGUGGAUACUGCUAAGAAAAACCCAGCUAAUUAUGCCGCCGCCUCCUCUGAAUCACUGCUGUCCCUACUGGUUUAGUUCCUUAGCAGAAACAAAGUAGUAAUAGACGAAUAAAUCUGCCCUGCUGCAGAAGUGCAUUAGAGAACAUGAAGGUAAUUUUAUUGGGUGAAAACCUGGAGAAUGGUUUUUUUAUAACCUUAAAAAAUCUUAUUGAGUGGCCUGAGUAAUUUUGUUACGAUUUACUCAGCCCUCCAUCCUUCCUGUAGGACUUGUGAAUGUCCUUGUUAACUAUUUAAAGAUGAUAAUGGUAGCUAACAAUUUUGUCAAGCAUUGAGUAUUCAUUUAAUCCUAACUCCAGUCUGAGGUAAUUGCUGUGAUAAUUAUUCCCAUUUUACAGAUAAGGAAACUGAGGCAGAGAGAGAUGUAGCGGACCAAGUUCACAAAGCUGAUAAAACAGAGGAACCAGGAUUUAAAUCUAGGUAGUUUGGCUCUAGCACAAGUUCUCUUAACUGCUGUAUUGCCUUUCAGUCCAGCUUAUACAUUUUGAUAACUAUGCUAACAAAAUCCAAGGAAAUAGCAACAAAAUAUUAACAUUAGUUAUCACUGAACAGAAAAAUUUGGAGUUUUAGUAUUUUGAGUUUAUACCUUUCCCAAAUGUUAUAGAAUAAUCGCAUUCCUGUUACGAUCAGAAAAAAAUACUUUAAAAUGAGCAUAAUUUUUAUGAAAACUAGGGAGAGAAUUACAUAAAAUAUUCUCACAAGAAAGACUGGGAGAAAUACAUGCAAAAAGGUCUGUUGCAGUGUUACCUGUGUAGUGAAAUUUUCAGUCAUUUUUUCUUCUGUACUUUAUUUUUUGGUAUUUGAUUUUAAACCUGUAGUUUUUUUUUUAAUGCUAAAAAAUAUACAAUCAUCUUUAUAUAAUCACUGAUUUCUGGAGAAAUUAUUUACCAAAAUGAUUCAGAAAACAUGGAAACUGUUAAGUGAGUUACCAAAAAAUAUUUUAAGAUGUAAUUAAAUGAUUCUAUCAAAGACAUUAGGCCUAGAGAAUCUGGGGUAUUUAAUUAUUUUAAAUUUCUGAAGUAUGAGCCAAUUCAAAUGAUGUUAUAUACUCUUGAAAAAGUAAAAACUUCCUAAUGCAUUUCCUUAAAUUAGCAUUAAAAUCUGAGAAAUAAGCAAAAAUAUAAUGGUCAUCUCACUUAUUACAGAUGCAAAAGAACUACAUAAAAAAUGCAAAUAACAGAAAUAAUAGUAAUAGUAUAUACUAAAAUAGCUGUUGUCCCCACCGUGAGUUAACUCUGCUUUGCUAGUGUUAAGAAACUCAAUUAAAUAGAAUGCAGAAAUAAUUGGCAUAAUUAUUGCUAACAUCCAAAAAUAUUGUCUUUGAAAACCCAAAGAAUUAUUAGAAAAAUUAGUACUGAUAGAGACCACAGUGAGGUAAUUUAACACAAAAAUUAAAUGUAAAAACCAAUGUUUUCCUUGAUACUAACAAAUAUAAGUUGCUCAAUAAAACAAAAAGACUGCAAAAUAUUAAGUUAUAAAGCACCUAGAAGAAAAUCUUGAGACAUAUGCAGAGUGAAAGGUAAAAAAUUUAUACUUCACUUUUUCAUAAACUUUUAAUGAAAUUCAAAAAAGGUGCAUAAAUAGAGUUUAUGCAUUCUAGCCAGGUUUUUUUGUGUGUGUGAGAAAACAGUACUAUGUCAGCCUUCCCAUACUAUGUUAUUCUGCUAACAUUGCUACAAUAAAAAGUCAGUGGAAUUUA